AGUAAGAGCAGUGUGAAUGAGUGGACCCUGACGUGUCACAGAGCAUUUUCAUUUUAUAUUGACGACGUUAUUGUCCGGUUGAAAUAUUAUAGAUCAUUUGGGCAAAAACUACCUGAGGAUUGAAUAUAAACAUCGUUUGACAUGUUUCUAUGUAAUUUACGGAUACAAUUUGGAUUUUUUUGUCUGCCUGUUGUGACUGUGAUUGAGCCUGUGGAUUACUGAAGAAAACGUGAACAAAACUGAGGUUUUUGGAAAUAAAAGAGACUUUAUCGAACAAAAGGAACAUUUAUUGAAUAAAUUAAUGUCUUCUGAGUGCAAACAUAUGAAGAUCAUCAAAGGGAUUAUAAUUAUAUCUCUAUUUCUGACUUGUGUAACUCUUCUACUUGGCUGGUUACUGUUUGUAAUGAUUUGUCUGCUGGGCUAUGUUCUCAAAUGAUUAUAAGAAAGGAAUGAAGGACAGUGUGGAGGAGAUGGAAACGCAUGGUGGUGAGAUAUUCUGUAGCUAAAGAUCAUGAACAAUAAGCCAGGGGGGACCAUAUGAAGCGUCGGAGGUAGGAGUUAUAUCGGAGGACCUGAGCCCUAGGACCAUGCCUCAGGACUACCUGGCCUGAUGACUCCUUGCUGUCCCCAGUCCACCUGGUCAUGCUGCUACUCCAGUUUCAACUGUUCUGCCUGCGGCUAUGGAACACUGACCUGUUCACUGGACGUGCUACCUUGUCCCAGACCUGCUGUUUUAGACUCUCUCUCUACUGCACCUGCUGUCUUUAACUCUGAUUGAUCGGCUAUGAAAAGCCAACUGACCUUUACUCCUAAGGUGCUGUCCUGUUGCACCCUCGACAACCACUGUGAUUAUUAUUAUCUGACCCUGCUGGUCAUCUAUGAACGUUUGAACAUCUUGGCCAUGUUCUGUUAUAAUCUCCACCCGGCACAGCCAGAAGAGGACUGGCCACCCCACAUAGCCUGGUUCCUCUCUAGGUUUCUUCCUAGGUGCUGGUCUUUCUAGGGAGUUUUUCCUAGCCACGUGCUUCUCCAUCUGCAUUGCUUGCUGUUUGGGGUUUUAGGCUGGGUCCUGGUACAGCACUUUGUGACAUCAGCUGAUGUAAAAAGGGCGUUAUAAAUAAAUGUAAUUGAUUGAUUGGUGGUACAGAGAAUGAAUGAUUUAGCUAGGGAACCAAACAUUGCAGGUUCAAACCCCACAUGAGCAGAUUGUCAACAUACGGAAGUUUAAAAAACAUUUUACAUUUACAUUUUUGUCAUUUAAC
ensembl:lncRNA